CACUGCCGUUGGUACUGGGGAUUGAACUCAGGGGCACCUAACCAUUGAGCCACAUCCCCAGCCCUAUUUUGUAUUUUAUUUAGAGGCAGGGUUUCACUGAGUUGCUUAGUGCCUUGCUUUUGCUGAGGCUGGCUUUAAACUUGUGAUCCUCCUGCCUCAGCCUCCUGAGCUGCUAGGAUUACAGGUGUGUGCCAUGGUGCCCAGCCGGAUUUUUUAAAUAUAGAAUGAAGUUAUAAUAUACAUAAAAAUAAAUAAACAAUAUAAAGUUAUUGUGUCCAUCUACAGCCCCCUCCCAAAGAAAGAAUGGUUAUAAAAAUCUUUGAAUGAUAUGGACUUGAGUACAACUUUGUUUUUAGAGAUCUUUGUGCUAUAAGUCAAUUCUGUGGAAUUUGUAAAAGGGCUUUUCAGUUUUGUCAUAGUAUUUACCAGCCACUGGAGUAAUUAAUUAGUAGUACCUUCUUGUACACUAAUCCCCUAAAUACAUGUUAUUUGACUGGGACAGUAAAGGCUUUCAUUUCAAAGAGACAAAGUCUUAACUUACAUAUUUAACUCACAGAGUUUCAUGUAUGGAAAGGCCUAAAGAAAAAAACAACAUGUUUUUGCAGAAGCUCCUACUUAUGAGAGACUGUUUUUAUAACCUCGUGGGGGGGGGUGGAUUAAGCCCCCAAAAGUAGUAGGGCUGGAACACUAAAAAUCCAGUGAGGGUACCAUCAUUAUUUCUGCUAUCAUUAGCAAAUGUUUAUUGCCUAUCAAUUAUAGGCAUGCACCACCAUGCCUGGCAACUACCACUUGAUUUUAUUGUGAACCUAGCUUCAUUAUGAACCUAGUUUUAUCUGAUUUUCUUUAAUAAUGACGUAGAUGUGAAUUAUCCAAAUUCAGCCUUUGGUUCAAAAUGAAGAGCUUUUUCUAAAAACUAUCACAGAUCUUAUAGGAUUUUUAUGUAAAUGAUAACUUCACUUGAUUAUAGACAUGUUUUUGUCAGCUGCCAUAAUAAUAAUUCAUAUUUCUAUUUAUAGUGUUAUAGUUUGGAAUCCCUGUGAGCAUUAGUUUCAGAAAAGGAAACUAAUACUACUAAACUUUUUAAUGUGCAGUGUACAAGGCUAGGGGCAGAGAGAAGUAGGAAGGAGUAAGUGAUAUUACUUAUAAACUUAGUCUCUGCUGGUAUAUUGUUCAGUGAGCCAUUGGUAGGACAAACCAGUAAUAAAUUAUCAAAUCUUAGUAACUUCUAAC
rnacentral:lncRNA from 1 species